rnacentral:pre_miRNA from 1 species
ACCAAGGAAUCUUGUGAAAAGGCAGAUUCAGUAGUCGGGCAGGGGCUCACAUUCUGCAUUUCUAACAAGCUCCGAGGUGAU